GCUGGAGCCGUUGGAGCGAGCGCGCUGAGGCUGCAGUUGGCGUUGGUCAGAUGGUGGUGCCAUUCACUGAAAUGGGGAAUAUUGGGAAAGAACUAAGUUUGGCCAGCGAAGCAUAUAAACUCCAAGAAGACAAAACAGUUUGUGUAUUUUGUUUAUUGCCGUGUCCCUACCACUUAGAAGAGAGCCUUGAAUGAAUCGGUAAGUAUGUUGCCUAACUAGUGACAUGUUUCAGGAAGCCUAGUAACAUUUUAUAAGGUCAUCCCUUAAUACUGCCUGGAAUCUCCCUUCUCUUGGUGUGCCAGUGGUAUCCUUCCACAAAUGGAAACCACAAAUGCCCAUAACCAUCCAGAAAAGAGACGCAGAAGAAACACAGAAGCACAGUGGAUUGUUAACGUAUGUCUAUGUUUCUGAACACUUGGAAAAUAGGUCAUUCAUAGUUUUUCCCAUAUAGUUAAGAACUCUAUUAGCACCAUUAGCAAGUUAUUGGCAGUGAGUUGGAACUAAGUAUGUGUGUCAUAAUCUUUCCCCAAAUAAAGGGUACA